UUUGCAUUUCUUUAUUUUCCAGUUAUUCCAAGUAAAAUUGCCAACUGAAUCAGUAAGCACAAUAGUUUAAAACCAUUAAUAUACAAUAUAACUAUUACUUUGUAUUCCUUUUUUUCUUGGGAAAAGUCAUCUUCUCCUGCUCUGUAAAAUGAGAACAGUAAUGUUUUUGUAUUUCCUUAACCAUUCUGUUUUCAGGACAACAUCGUCCCAGGCGUUCCUAGUGAUGAGCACUUUCAUGCAUGAAUGCUUUUGCUGCAGUCACUGAAAUUACCAAUUUGAUGAGCUGGGGUUUAAAAAUCUAUCCCCAAGUCAUUUCCAGUUCCUGUUGAACAGAGGUGAAUUAUUUGCUGUAACAUUCAGUCAUGAGACCAAUUGAAACAUCAGCUCAUCAAUUUUUUAUUAUUGCCUCUGAUUUGGGAGCCUCAGCAUGUGCAAUUUGUACAAGCCCAACCCAUAUGCUUCAUCUUCACUCGGAGGGCAGCUGAAAAUGAUGGGAUCCUUGAAGGUGGCCGAGGUCAUCACAGCAGACUGCAAACUGAUUGAAGCCUCUGAGGAGUUGCUCAGGACAUGGAUGCCAUUUUCUAAAGUUUUUCUAUGUACAUUUGCAAGCAGAGUGGUAAAUCUUGCCUUCGUUAUGAAGAAAAGAAUGGGGAUGGGAGUGAAAUAGAGGAUGAGAAGAAAGUGAAACUCAGCCAAGUCCCAUUGGGAUUUAAUGGGCAGCUCAUAAGACUUCAUGUGCUAAAGGACUGAUCGGCAAAAGCUAUAGCAGUCUUCCUCAGCCAGCUCUGACAAAAGCAUCCUUAGUCUGCAUUUGAGCUAAGUUUGGUUCUCUGUUUUUAUGUGGGAGAACAGAGUGUGCUAUAUUACAGGAGCUAAACCCUUGAACAUUAAGUUGUCUGAGAUGUAUGCUGCUUUUUCACUUGUGAUUUUAAGAGAACAAUGGAAGUGCUGAUUUUCACCUUUCUGUAAUCUCAGUUUUACAUUGAAGGAGAACCUCAUCUUCAGGAAUAGAGCACGGAAUACAAAAGAUUGUUCUUAAUGUAAAAAACAGCUGGGGAAAUUUUCUAGGAGAUCUAAUACAGUUACUCAAAGUGCAAUGCUGAAUAGCAGAGUGUAUCUCCUUUUCUUUAAUUCUGCUCAGUACUGUACAUUUUUUACUUUCAUUCCUUGUUUCCACAAAUUCAUCUGGGAUGCUCGUUAAUCUGGUAUUCCUAUUAUCAGCAUACUUUGAAAGAGACCAGAUUUCCACCAGAAAUCUUGACAUAUAUGUAAAUCUUCUUCCAGUUAGGAAAAGAAAAGAUAAUACACCACACGUUGGUGUCUAUAGGUCAACCACAGGCUAUAUAAAAUAAGGUUCCAUGUAGUUAAAAUAAAUGAAAAAGAAAAAUCA
rnacentral:lncRNA from 1 species